rnacentral:rRNA from 1 species
GAGUUUGAUCCUGGCUCAGAACGAACGCUGGCGGCAUGCCUAACACAUGCAAGUCGAACGAACUCUUCGGAGUUAGUGGCGCACGGGUGCGUAACGCGUGGGAAUCUGCCCCUUGGUUCGGAAUAACAGCGAGAAAUUGCUGCUAAUACCGGAUGAUGACUUCGGUCCAAAGAUUUAUCGCCAAGGGAUGAGCCCGCGUAAGAUUAGCUAGUUGGUGGGGUAAUGGCCUACCAAGGCGACGAUCUUUAGCUGGUCUGAGAGGAUGAUCAGCCACACUGGGACUGAGACACGGCCCAGACUCCUACGGGAGGCAGCAGUGGGGAAUAUUGGACAAUGGGCGAAAGCCUGAUCCAGCAAUGCCGCGUGAGUGAUGAAGGCCUUAGGGUUGUAAAGCUCUUUUACCAGGGAUGAUAAUGACAGUACCUGGAGAAUAAG